UGGGGAAUAUUGCACAAUGGGCGCAAGCCUGAUGCAGCCAUGCCGCGUGUGUGAAGAAGGCCUUCGGGUUGUAAAGCACUUUCAGCGAGGAGGAAGGUGGUGAACUUAAUACGUUCAUCAAUUGACGUUACUCGCAGAAGAAGCACCGGCUAACUCCGUGCCAGCAGCCGCGGUAAUACGGAGGUGCAAGCGUUAAUCGGAAUUACUGGGCGUAAAGCGCNCGCAAGGCGGUUUGUUAAGUCAGAUGUGAAAUCCCCCGGGCUCAACCUGGGAACUGCAUUUGAAACUGGCAAGCUAGAGUCUCGUAGAGGGGGGUAGAAUUUCCAGGUGUAGCGGUGAAAUGCGUAGAGAUCUGGGGGAAUACCGGUGGCGAAGGCGGCCCCCCUGGACGAAGACUGACGCUCAGGUGCGAAAGCGUGGGGAGCAAACAGGAUUAGAUACCCUGGUAGUCCACGCUGUAAACGAUGUCGAUUUGGAGGUUGUG
rnacentral:rRNA from 1 species